rnacentral:rRNA from 1 species
UACGGAGGGGGCAAGCGUUAUUCGGAAUCAUUGGGCGUAAAGGGCGCGUAGGCGGCUUGGCAAGUCAAAGGUGAAAUCCCUCGGCUCAACCGAGGAACUGCCUCGGAAACUGCAUGGCUCGAGGCCGGGAGAGGGUAGCGGAAUUCCCAGUGUAGCGGUGAAAUGCGUAGAUAUUGGGAGGAACACCGGAGGCGAAGGCGGCUACCUGGACCGGUUCUGACGCUGAUGCGCGAAAGCGUGGGGAGCAAACAGG